CAGUUAAGUUUAAAUUAUUUUUUAAUUAAUCAUUUAUUUUCACAUAUAGGUUGAUCAGUUAAAUGAAGCUUUGGAAGUAUACUCAUCAGAAGUUUUAAAACUUUGAAGAAUAUGAGCUGGAAUGUAAAAGUGCUGGAAGAAAGUUUCCCUUCCCAGCUGCUCGUCCUUUGUUGGCAGCUUUGUUGACCUACAACCCUAGAAUACAUUAGAAAAAAGUUAUAGUAACAGUAAAAUCAAGUGAACUGGAGUGUGCUUUGAUGUACCCGCCCUUUAUUUAUGUGUGAGACUUCUUGAGAAUAUUAUUUGAAUUUAUUGAUAAGGGUUGGGAGACUGAACUUUGUGAAAAAUGCACUUCAUUUUUAGUAUGGUAAGUACCGAUUUUCCUGUUUUGACUAUAUUUUCAAAAUUUUUAUAAGAAA